GCUCUUUUACCAGGGAUGAUAAUGACAGUACCUGGAGAAUAAGCUCCGGCUAACUCCGUGCCAGCAGCCGCGGUAAUACGGAGGGAGCUAGCGUUGUUCGGAAUUACUGGGCGUAAAGCGCACGUAGGCGGUUAUUCAAGUCAGAGGUGAAAGCCCGGGGCUCAACCCCGGAACUGCCUUUGAAACUAGAUAGCUAGAAUCCUGGAGAGGUGAGUGGAAUUCCGAGUGUAGAGGUGAAAUUCGUAGAUAUUCGGAAGAACACCAGUGGCGAAGGCGGCUCACUGGACAGGUAUUGACGCUGA
rnacentral:rRNA from 1 species